rnacentral:rRNA from 1 species
GAUGAACGCUGGCGGCGUGCCUAAUACAUGCAAGUCGAGCGAAUGGAUUAAGAGCUUGCUCUUAUGAAGUUAGCGGCGGACGGGUGAGUAACACGUGGGUAACCUGCCUAUAAGACUGGGAUAACUCCGGGAAACCGGGGCUAAUACCGGAUAACAUUUUGAACCGCAUGGUUCGAAAUUGAAAGGCGGCUUCGGCUGUCACUUAUGGAUGGACCCGUGUCGCAUUAGCUAGUUGGUGAGGUAACGGCCCACCAAGGCAACGAUGCGUAGCCGACCUGAGAGGGUGAUCGGCCACACUGGGACUGAGACACGGCCCAGACUCCUACGGGAGGCAGCAGUAGGGAAUCUUCCGCAAUGGACGAAAGUCUGACGGAGCAACGCCGCGUGAGUGAUGAAGGCUUUCGGGUCGUAAAACUCUGUUGUUAGGGAAGAACAAGUGCUAGUUGAAUAAGCUGGCACCUUGACGGUACCUAACCAGAAAGCCACGGCUAACUACGUGCCAGCCGCCGCCGUAA